rnacentral:rRNA from 1 species
AUUGAACGCUGGCGGCAGGCCUAACACAUGCCAGUCGAGCGGAUGAAGGGAGCUUGCUCCUGGAUUCAGCGGCGGACGGGUGAGUAAUGCCUAGGAAUCUGCCUGUUAGUGGGGGAUAACGUCCGGAAACGGGCGCUAAUACCGCAUACGUCCUGAGGGAGAAAGUGGGGGAUCUUCGGACCUCACGCUAUCAGAUGAGCCUAGGUCGGAUUAGCUAGUUGGUGGGGUAAAGGCCUACCAGGGCGACGAUCCGUAACUGGUCUGAGGGGAUGAUCAGUCACACGGGAACUGAGCAACGUUCCAGACUCUUACGGGAGGAGGCGGUGGGAAAUAUUGGACAUGGGGCGAAAGCUUGUCCAAGCCAUGCGGCGGGUGUGAAGAAGGUCUUCGGUUUGUAAAGCCCUUUAAGUGGGAAGAAAGGGAAGUAAGUUAAUACCUUCCUGUUUGACGGUACCCAACAGAAUAAGAACCGGUAACCUCCGU